AGGACAAACGCUGGCGGCGUGCAUAACACAUGCAAGUCGAACGAGGGUAGCGAUACUCGAGUGGCGGACGGGUGAGGAACACGUGGAUGACCGACCUUUUACUGGGGAAUACCCGUGGGAAACCACGGCUAAUACCGCAUACGUUCGCGAGAAGAAAGCCUUCGGGCGGUAAGAGACGGGUCUGCGGUCGAUUAGCUAGUUGGUGCGGUAACGGCGUACCAAGGCGACGAUCGAUAGCUGGUCUGAGAGGAUGAUCAGCCACAUUGGGAUUGAGAACGGCCCAAAUCCCUACGGGGAGCAGCAGUGAGGAAUAUCGGCAAUGGGCGCAAGCCUGACCGAGCGACGCCGCGUGGGGAUGACGCAUUUCGGUGUGUAAACCCCUUUUCUGUGGGACGAGAAUGGACGGUACCACAGGAAUAAGUCUCGGCUAACUACGUGCCAGCAGCCGC
rnacentral:rRNA from 1 species